GCUCCUACGGGGGGCAGCAGUGAGGAAUAUUGGUCAAUGGGCGGAAGCCUGAACCAGCCAAGUCGCGUGAGGGAAUAAGGCCCUACGGGUCGUAGACCUCUUUUGCCGGGGAGCAAGGGCCGGGACGAGUCCCGGUCCGGAGAGUACCCGGAGAAAAAGCAUCGGCUAACUCCGUGCCAGCAGCCGCGGUAAUACGGAGGAUGCGAGCGUUAUCCGGAUUUAUUGGGUUUAAAGGGUGCGUAGGCGGGCUUUUAAGUCAGCGGUAAAAAUUCGGGGCUCAACCUCGCCCGGCCGUUUAAACUGGG
rnacentral:rRNA from 1 species